ensembl:lncRNA
CAAAGGUGGAGACGGAGUCGGCAUCCUAGGAAAAAACUUAUUUCAUUACAGAUAUAUAGAAAGAUUAGAAACAGAUAGUGUAGUAGGAAAAUUAGAGGAGAAAAGAGGCUGAAUAACUUGGUUUACGUGGAAUAUCAAUCGCUACCUUCGUAGGCCACAGGCAUCUUUCCAUUCUCCGGAAGGAGAGGAGGCACUGAGGCCUCCCUGGUCCGAUCUUAGAGGCCCAGGCAGAAUUAGCAGGCUUGGAUGCAGAUUCUCCAAUUUGGGUUCCAGACCAAUUGAUUCACCGUGUCUCAGCCCCUCGGAUACCGGAUUCCCCAGCUGCCACAACCCCUAAAACGGAAGAGACUUCCUCUGCCUCCGCUCCCUCCACCAGCACGGGAAACACUGCCGACAUCAGGACAACUGACGUAAGAGACCCCGGAUGAGCAAAGAAUGGAUCUGCCCACCAAGCAGAUGUCUCAGCUUCGCAUAUGGGAUGUUACUCCCCCUGAUCCCUUGCCCCACAAAAAGAUGCCAGGUCGCCCUACCCAAGCGACCCAGCAAGCCCUCAUACCCACUUGGGGACAGAUUAAAAUGCUCUGUCACCAGGCACAGGGAAUUGCUUCCUUGCAGGGAUCUCCAGUCUCUCCUGAAAAGGUGUUUAUUGCCAUGCUUGUUUUGCUUUCCUGCCAGUCCUGCCCGACUUUUUGGGAUUCCAUGGUCUAUAGCCCACCAGGCUCCUCUGCCCAUGGGACUUUCCAGGUGGAUUGUUUACCAAUUGUGUCACCUAGGAAGCCCUGUUCUGUUUAUCAUUGAGCAACUGUCCUCAAAAAGCCCACAAGUUCACAGGAGUGAAUGACUAACACAUAUGCAUCAAUGAAUGAUUAACAAGAGCCAUAAAUUGUGAUCCCUCACCUCAAGGUCAAAUAAAUCCUGUG